AAAGGAAUAGACGGGGGCCCGCACAAGCAGUGGAGUAUGUGGUUUAAUUCGAAGCAACGCGAAGAACCUUACCAGGACUUGACAUCCCUCGCUAUCCAAGGAAACUUGGAGUUCCUACGGGACGGGGAGACAGGUGGUGCAUGGUUGUCGUCAGCUCGUGUCGUGAGAUGUUGGGUUAAGUCCCGCAACGAGCGCAACCCCUGUUGUUAGUUGCCAUCAGGUAAAGCUGGGCACUCUAACAAGACUGCCGGUGAUAAAUCGGAGGAAGGUGGGGAUGACGUCAAAUCAUCAUGCCCCUUAUGUUCUGGGCUACACACGUACUACAAUGGCUGCUACAGAGGGGAGCAAAGCCGUAAGGCAGAGCAAAUCCCAAAAAGCAGUCUCAGUUCGGAUUGUGGGCUGAAACCCGCCCACAUGAAGCAGGAAUUGCUAGUAAUGGCAGGUCAGCAUACUGCCGUGAAUACGUUCCCGGGCCUUGUACACACCGCCCGU
rnacentral:rRNA from 1 species